GACGAACGCUGUCGGCGUGCUUAACACAUGCAAGUCGAACGGAAAGGCCCUGCUUUUGUGGGGUGCUCGAGUGGCGAACGGGUGAGUAACACGUGAGUAACCUGCCCUUGACUUUGGGAUAACUUCAGGAAACUGGGACUAAUACCGGAUAGGAGCUCCUGCUGCAUGGUGGGGGUUGGAAAGUUUCGGCGGUUGGGGAUGGACUCGCGGCUUAUCAGCUUGUUGGUGGGGUAGUGGCUUACCAAGGCUUUGACGGGUAGCCGGCCUGAGAGGGUGACCGGCCACAUUGGGACUGAGAUACGGCCCAGACUCCUACGGGAGGCAGCAGUGGGGAAUAUUGCACAAUGGGCGGAAGCCUGAUGCAGCAACGCCGCGUGCGGGAUGACGGCCUUCGGGUUGUAAACCGCUUUCGCCUGUGACGAAGCGUGAGUGACGGUAAUGGGUAAAGAAGCACCGGCUAACUACGUGCCAGCAGCCGCGGUGAUACGUAGGGUGCGAGCGUUGUCCGGAUUUAUUGGGCGUAAAGGGCUCGUAGGUGGUUGAUCGCGUCGGAAGUGUAAUCUUGGGGCUUAACCCUGAGCGUGCUUUCGAUACGGGUUGACUUGAGGAAGGUAGGGGAGAAUGGAAUUCCUGGUGGAGCGGUGGAAUGCGCAGAUAUCAGGAGGAACACCAGUGGCGAAGGCGGUUCUCUGGGCCUUUCCUGACGCUGAGGAGCGAAAGCGUGGGGAGCGAACAGGCUUAGAUACCCUGGUAGUCCACGCUGUAAACGGUGGGUACUAGGUGUGGGGUCCAUUCCACGGGUUCCGUGCCGUAGCUAACGCUUUAAGUACCCCGCCUGGGGAGUACGGCCGCAAGGCUAAAACUCAAAGGAAUUGACGGGGCCCCGCACAAGCGGCGGAGCAUGCGGAUUAAUUCGAUGCAACGCGUAGAACCUUACCUGGGUUUGACAUGGAUCGGGAGUGCUCAGAGAUGGGUGUGCCUCUUUUGGGGUCGGUUCACAGGUGAUGCAUGGCUGUCGUCAGCUCGUGUCGUGAGAUGUUGGGUUAAGUCCCGCAACGAGCGCAACCCUUGUUCACUGUUGCCAGCACGUUAUGGUGGGGACUCAGUGGAGACCGCCGGGGUCAACUCGGAGGAAGGUGGGGAUGACGUCAAGUCAUCAUGCCCCUUAUGUCCAGGGCUUCACGCAUGCUACAAUGGCUGGUACAGAGAGUGGCGAGCCUGUGAGGGUGAGCGAAUCUCGGAAAGCCGGUCUCAGUUCGGAUUGGGGUCUGCAACUCGACCUCAUGAAGUCGGAGUCGCUAGUAAUCGCAGAUCAGCAACGCUGCGGUGAAUACGUUCCCGGG
rnacentral:rRNA from 1 species